AUUGAACGCUGGCGGCAUGAUUUACACAUGCAAGUCGAACGGUAACAGGCCGCAAGGUGCUGACGAGUGGCGAACGGGUGAGUAAUGCAUCGGAACGUGCCCAGUCGUGGGGGAUAACUACUCGAAAGAGUAGCUAAUACCGCAUACGAUCUAUGGAUGAAAGCGGGGGACCGUAAGGCCUCGCGCGAUUGGAGCGGCCGAUGUCAGAUUAGGUAGUUGGUGGGGUAAAGGCUCACCAAGCCAACGAUCUGUAGCUGGUCUGAGAGGACGACCAGCCACACUGGGACUGAGACACGGCCCAGACUCCUACGGGAGGCAGCAGUGGGGAAUUUUGGACAAUGGGCGCAAGCCUGAUCCAGCAAUGCCGCGUGCAGGAAGAAGGCCUUCGGGUUGUAAGCUGCUUUUGUACGGAACGAAACGGCUCUGGUUAAUACCCGGGGCUAAUGACGGUACCGUAAGAAUAAGCACCGGCUAACUACGUG
rnacentral:rRNA from 1 species